rnacentral:rRNA from 1 species
UACAGAGGUCUCGAGCGUUGUUCGGAUUCAUUGGGCGUAAAGGGUGCGUAGGUGGCUAGGUAAGUCGGAUGUGAAAUCCCGGGGCUCAACCCCGGAACUGCAUUCGAUACUGCCUGGCUUAGAGUACUGGAGAGGAGAUUGGAAUUUACGGUGUAGCAGUGAAAUGCGUAGAUAUCGUAAGGAAGACCAGUGGCGAAGGCGGAUCUCUGGACAGUUACUGACACUGAGGCACGAAGGCCAGGGGAGCAAACGGG